GAGAGCUUCGUAAAUCAAAUAUGAUGUGCGUGCAAAUGUCCCUUGAAUGUGCAUAUAAGUCUAAAUUUAAACAGUGUUAUAUUAUAUAGAGCGAUCGUGUCUCUUUAGGGCGCUUGAAGGAAACCACGCAAUUCAUAUGGAUUACUUUGGCGAUGUUUUUUUUUUUUGCGAUGAACUUUUUGAAACGUGAACAUCUUUCGAAGAUGAACGACGGUUUGGAGCAUCUUAAGGGUGAGUGAUGGCAGAAUUCAAAUUGUUUUGGGGGAACUAUGAAAUUAAUUAGAAAAUAUGUAAGGGAUAAUCAACGGCUAGCUGUGCAUUAAACGAUUUGAAUGCAGGACGUGGAGGCGAAGAACCCGACGCGCAGCGGAGUGCAUUCAAAUCGUUUAAUGCACAGCUAGCCGUUGAUUAUCCCGUUUAUGCCAUCAUUUACCAGCAUUCACAUAUUAAAGAUGUUAAUAAUAUUUGGGCUGCAAUAUUUGACCGGAACGAUAAAAAUGACGGUUAUUUUUGUCUGUAUUACUAUUCAACUGUAACUGUAUGUUACUAUGGUUACCAAUGUUUAUAGGAAGCGCAUUAAUAUAGAACGUGAUUAAACUGACCUGGAACUACCUGCAGUUCAACGAAUUUAAUCAACACCUGCCAGCCAAUCAGAAUCCAGUAUUCAGACAGACCAUGGCAUAAAGCGGCAUGUUCUUAUUGUUACCAGCUUCUGCGAGCGUGUCUGGCUUCAGAACCUCACUGUGACUUCAGAUAAGAACAAAGAUUAAAUUGUAAGAAGGGUUGCUUAUAAAAGCAUACAGUACAUCUGAAACUGCUGAGGCUGGUAAGGUUUUUGACUAUAUUUCCGACCAGGUACAUUGUUCUGUCAUUCUUAAAUAGAAAACAAAUCAUCAAUCAUCAUUGGCUUUUUUUGUGUGUGUGAGUGUGAAAAAUAUUAACAUUUGUUGUUUUUCAGAUCAGCUGCUAUAGAAGACAAACUGAAAUCUGAGUGUAGAGACAAGCAAAGGAAUACUGCAAGGCACUACUGACUAGGCUGUGCCCAGGUCUCUGGAACCUGCGACGACGCUCAGCUCCAUCGGCCCUCCGUCUGCGCCUUCGGAUCCACCAGCUCUGUCUCCAUCGGUUGGCCCCCAGAUGUCGGCAGCCACACCAUCUACAUCUUGGCUCCUCGCUCCCUCGACUCCGCCGUGUGUUGUCAGCACUGGGAUGCUCUGGGUCUGUGCCAUGUGCCAAACUCCAUCUAAGCCGCCAGGGCAUCAUCGUCAUCCUCUCAUCACCAUCCCUACACCAUCUCCUCGUCCACCUCCAAAACCCCUCCAUCCCUCCCUAUUCUGUUGCUUGAACUUUAUCAUCUUCAGUCUUUGCACACACAUCUAUUCACUUUACAUGUUUUUUUUUCUUCAGAAAAUUGCAUUGUAAUUUUUAUUUAUUCAUUGAUGUAAAAUUCUUUACUUUUCAGUAAUACAGGUAUAACUGAAAUGUUCUACAAAUGGAUAAGAUGGCUCUUCCGUAGCAUUUCAGUCUAUUUUUCAUUUAUGUUUUUUGUAUAGUUUUAAAAUGUACUUGAGUAUG